UAAGGAAUAUUGGUCAAUGGACGCAAGUCUGAACCAGCCAUGCCGCGUGAAGGAUGAAGGUCCUAUGGGUUGUAAACUUCUUUUAGACGGGACAAAACCCCUUUACGUGUAAAGGGUUGAUGGUACUGUCAGAAUAAGCAUCGGCUAACUUCGUGCCAGCAGCCGCGGUAAUACGAAGGAUGCAAGCGGUAUCCGGAAUUAUUGGGUUUAAAGGGUGCGUAGGCGGACUAAUAAGUCAGUGGUGAAAUCUCCGGGCUUAACCCGGAAACUGCCGUUGAUACUAUUUGUCUUGAAUAUUGUGGAGGUAAGCGGAAUAUGUCAUGUAGCGGUGAAAUGCUUAGAUAUGACAUAGAACACCAAUUGCGAAGGCAGCUUACUACACAAUCAUUGACGCUGGGGCACGAAAGCGUGGGGAUCAAACA
rnacentral:rRNA from 1 species